rnacentral:rRNA from 1 species
CCUACGGGAGGCUGCAGUGGGGAAUUUUGCGCAAUGCUCGUAAGAGUGACGCAGCGACGCCGCGUGAAUGACGAAGGCCUUCGUGUCGUAAAGUUCUUUCGACAGGGAAGAACAUGCAUAUAAGUAACUGUGUAUGUAUUGACGGUACCUGUAUAAGCAGCCCCGGCUAACUCCGUGCCAGCAGCCGCGGUAAUACGGAGGGGGCGAGCGUUGUUCGGAGUGACUGGGCGUAAAGAGCACGUAGGCGGUGUUGUAAGUCAUUAGUCAAAGACUAGAGCUCAACUUUAGUAAGGCUAGUGAUACUAUAAUACGAGAGUAUCAGAGAGGAUUGCAGAAUUCCUGGUGUAGCGGUGAAAUGCGUAGAUAUCAGGAGGAAUACCGUUAGCGAAGGCGGCAAUCUGGCUGGAAACUGACGCUGAGGUGCGAAAGCGUGGGUAGCAAACAGGAUUAGAUACCCCAGUAGUC